rnacentral:rRNA from 1 species
CGAAUUAAGUUCGGUGAAUUCGGUCUGUACCCUCGAUCCACCGAACUGACCGAAACACCGAGGCCUGACACCUAAUUCCUAUCUUGCCAGCUGCCGCACAACCGCAGCCCCGCACGUACGUAGGGAACUAGCGCAUCCUCCUGCCCUCCUCCCAAAACUUCGCUUAUCCCGAAUCGCCUCCUCCCAAAAUCACGACACAGAUCGACCCUUGCCCUCCCCAGGACCGCAAGUCUCGCGUCCGUAACCUGUACCUUCCAUGGCCGCUUGAUUUCCUGUCUCCUGGGCAUCCUACAUGAGGUCCGAUGCCUCGCUACAUGAGGUCCUCUGUCCGCCACACCGGCAGCGGCGGCCGGUCAAUUUCCGCAGAAGAAGUUGGAUGCUGCAAGCCGCAACAAGUGGCUGGACGAAUUCUGCAUCGAACACUGCUGCUUGCCUGCGACGUAAGUACGCUAGUACUUGAUUUCUAUUCUAUCAUAUUCUUAUUCCAUCCAGAUCCAAGUUCGUGAUUUGAUCCUUGUUGUGAGGGCAAUGAUAAGCAAGAUGUGCUGCAAGUCAACCAUUGGUGACAGUUGAAGAAUAAGCAAUCAAGCUUGAAGUUUAGAUGAUGGGAGAUUAGCAGAUGGCAGCGGCGAGGUUGUACUUAUCCUGUUCGAAAAGCUUCUUGCUGAUUGCCUGCUUCUUUUUAUCAAACUUAAGUGUUAAGUCAGACUUAUCAGUGUAUCAUGUGUGCUAAACUUAAUUUUUGAGUCGAAUCUGCUAUGUUUACUGUCAUUCAUGUCUAUUUGAGAACGGUGUGAUACAGUACAGGUGAUAUGCUGACAAUAUUUUCUGUGCAUAAUAUGCAGCUAAUCGCCUGCUGUGAAAAUUUGUAGUUGAUCAUUUGUAAGCCUGCAUGUUGUCUGUUGGUGCAGUUUGUGGCUAUCUGAAGCUUUUCUCGGCCUCCUUUUUUC